rnacentral:rRNA from 1 species
AGAGUUUGAUCCUGGCUCAGAUUGAACGCUGGCGGCAGGCCUAACACAUGCAAGUCGAGCGGUAGCACGGGGAGCUUGCUCCCGGGUGACGAGCGGCGGACGGGUGAGUAAUGUCUGGGGAUCUGCCUGAUGGAGGGGGAUAACUACCGGAAACGGUAGCUAAUACCGCAUAACGUCGCAAGACCAAAGAGGGGGACCUUCGGGCCUCUUGCCAUCAGAUGAACCCAGAUGGGAUUAGCUAGUAGGUGGGGUAAUGGCUCACCUAGGCGACGAUCCCUAGCUGGUCUGAGAGGAUGACCAGCCACACUGGAACUGAGACACGGUCCAGACUCCUACGGGAGGCAGCAGUGGGGAAUAUUGCGCAAUGGGCGCAAGCCUGAUGCAGCCAUGCCGCGUGUAUGAAGAAGGCCUUCGGGUUGUAAAGUACUUUCAGCGAGGAGGAAGGCAUUGUGGUUAAUAACCACAGUGAUUGACGUUACUCGCAGAAGAAGCACCGGCUAACUCCGUGCCAGCAGCCGCUGUAAUACGGAGGGUGCAAGCGUUAAUCGGAAUUACUGGGCGUAAAGCGCACGCAGGCGGUUUGUUAAGUCGGAUGUGAAAUCCCCGGGCUCAACCUGGGAACUGCAUUCGAAACUGGCAAGCUUGAGUCCUGUAGAGGGGGGUAGAAUUC